rnacentral:rRNA from 1 species
ACACAAAAAUGCACAUAUUGUGAGCUCGAUGAGUAGGGCGGGACACGUGGUAUCCUGUCUGAAUAUGGGGGGACCAUCCUCCAAGGCUAAAUACUCCUGACUGACCGAUAGUGAACCAGUACCGUGAGGGAAAGGCGAAAAGAACCCCGGCGAGGGGAGUGAAAAAGAACCUGAAACCGUGUACGUACAAGCAGUGGGAGCCUCUUAAUGGGGUGACUGCGUACCUUUUGUAUAAUGGGUCAGCGACUUAUAUUCUGUAGCAAGGUUAACCGAAUAGGGGAGCCGAAGGGAAACCGAGUCUUAACUGGGCGUUAAGUUGCAGGGUAUAGACCCGAAACCCGGUGAUCUAGCCAUGGGCAGGUUGAAGGUUGGGUAACACUAACUGGAGGACCGAACCGACUAAUGUUGAAAAAUUAGCGGAUGACUUGUGGCUGGGGGUGAAAGGCCAAUCAAACCGGGAGAUAGCUGGUUCUCCCCGAAAGCUAUUUAGGUAGCGCCUCGUGAAUUCAUCUCCGGGGGUAGAGCACUGUUUCGGCAAGGGGGUCAUCCCGACUUACCAACCCGAUGCAAACUGCGAAUACCGGAGAAUGUUAUCACGGGAGACACACGGCGGGUGCUAACGUCCGUCGUGAAGAGGGAAACAACCCAGACCGCCAGCUAAGGUCCCAAAGUCAUGGUUAAGUGGGAAACGAUGUGGGAAGGCCCAGACAGCCAGGAUGUUGGCUUAGAAGCAGCCAUCAUUUAAAGAAAGCGUAAUAGCUCACUGGUCGAGUCGGCCUGCGCGGAAGAUGUAACGGGGCUAAACCAUGCACCGAAGCUGCGGCAGCGACACUAUGUGUUGUUGGGUAGGGGAGCG